ensembl:snRNA U6 U6 spliceosomal RNA
GUGCUCACUUUGGCAGCACAUAUACCAAACCUGGAACAAUACAGAGAGGAUUAGGCCUCUGCAAAAGAAAGACAAUCAAGUUUAUAAAGUGUUCCAUUCCUUA